GUAAAAAAAAAAAAAAAGGCUUGUGUCUUGUUUUGCAUUGCCACUCAACCCUGACACGGAGAGACCGACCCUCCGGGAGGACGGCGGCUUGGCCCGGGGAGCUGCGCUGGGACAGUCCGCCUCGCGGUGCUGUGAACCGGGGGAACCGUCGGAGCGCCGCUCCGGGAGUUUGGUCCAGGACGGAGCUGAGGAUGAGCGGCUCGGCCUCGGUUUGCUAUGUUCCUGUUGCAUGAUGGAAGUCCUGGUGGAUCCUACAUGACCGGAUCCUGCCGCUGCAAAUGGGCCCCAAACCAUGACUCUUCCACCUCCGUGCUUCACAGUUGGUGGCAGAGACACCGGCUUCACUCUGAACGAAAACCAGGCACUCCAACAUUGUCGGCUUCUGUUUGAGCUUAUAAAGUGUGAACAAUUUGCUGAAAUGCAAACAUCUAAAGUAAAACACAACUUCCCUCAUGUGCACAUCUUCUGAUUAUCAAAAAUAAAUAAAUAAAAAGGCUGUGAAUUGAUGAAAAGCUCUACUCACCCCACAGUUCAGUCGUUGUUGUUUUGCUGGGAUGUGUUUUAUCCUCCUUGUUCAUUCUCUCACUUUUUUAACCUCACGUUCACUUCUCAGGGCGGUGCUCCCAUAUUCUUCCUUUCUUAGUAAUUUUCCUUUAUUCCUCCAGUUUUUGAGUUUCUUGUUUUAGUUUCACGCUUGUUGCACAUCUUUUAUUUCAUCCCAGUUGUGUUUCUCUUUUUAAUCCUUCAUUGUCCUCCUCUUCCUCCUCCACUGAUUGUAAUCCUGUCUACUCUACUGUGCUGUGUGAACUCACAGAACAGACUGGAAGUGCUGCGUCAAUCAGAGCAGGGCAUGAUGGGAGGGGGAGACGGAGAGGAAAGGAGACGAUCAGGAGCUUCCUCCCUGUCUGAGCAUCCGUCUUACUUACAGGCACCCCCGGUAAAGAUGUGGGGAAAGAAUAAAACAUUCUUUAUUGUAGAAGUGCAUUUAUUCUGUGGGGAAAAUAAAAUAAAAUAAUAAUAAUAAGUUUAUUGUUUGAACAAAAUCCUCUCUGUCAGCCUUAUCUCUUCUUACAAACUCUGUAAAAUGAAUAUACCAAAAUAUUUUCUCAUAAUUUGUAAUAAACCUUUUUUUUGAGUUGA